rnacentral:rRNA from 1 species
UACAGAGGUGGCAAGCGUUGUUCGGAAUUACUGGGCGUAAAGGGCGCGUAGGCGGCCUACUAAGUCAGACGUGAAAUCCCCAGGCUUAACCUGGGAACUGCGUCUGAUACUGGAUGGCUUGAAUUCGGGAGAGGGAUGCAGAAUUCCAGGUGUAGCGGUGAAAUGCGUAGAUAUCUGGAGGAAUACCGGUGGCGAAGGCGGCAUCCUGGACCGAGAUUGACACUGAUGAGCGAAAGCCAGGGGAGCAAACGGG